GACGAACGCUGGCGGCGUGCUUAACACAUGCAAGUCGAACGAAGUGGCGAACGGGUGAGUAACGCGUAAUCAACCUGCCCUUCAGAGGGGGACAACAGUUGGAAACGACUGCUAAUACCGCAUACUGAAGGAGGGGAUUGCGUGUGAUUAGCUAGUUGGAGGGGUAACGGCCCAACAAGGCGAUGAUCAGUCAGCGGUCGUGGAGGAUGGACGGCCACAAUGGGACUGGUACACGGCCCAGACCCCUGCGGGAGGCAGCAGUGGGGGAUCUUCCGCAAUGGACGAAAGUCUGACGGAGCAACGCCGCGUGGGUGAUGACGGCCUUCGGGUUGUAAAGCUCUGUUAAUCGGGACGCGGUACCGGAAUAGAAAGCCACGGCUAACUACGUGCCAGCAGCCGCGGUAAUAC
rnacentral:rRNA from 1 species